GCAGCAGGUCUCUUAUCGCUGCUCAUCUUUGAUGAGGAGAGGAAAGUCCGGACACCACAGAGCGGCAUAGCGGGUAACGCCCGUCUUUCGUUACAAACGAAAAGGACUAGUGCAACAGAAAGAAUGUACAGGUAAUGCUGUAGUGAAAUCAGGUAAACUCUAUGCGGUGCAACGCCAAGUAAAUUUGCUUUUGAGAGCGGCUCGUUCGAUGUAA
rnacentral:RNase_P_RNA from 1 species